rnacentral:rRNA from 1 species
GCGAACGCUGGCGGCAGGCCUAACACUUGCAAGUCGAACGGAUCCUUCGGGAUUAGUGGCGGACGGGUGAGUAACACGUGGGAACGUGCCCUUUGGUUCGGAACAACUCAGGGAAACUUGAGCUAAUACCGGAUGUGCCCUUCGGGGGAAAGAUUUAUCGCCAUUGGAGCGGCCCGCGUCUGAUUAGCUAGUUGGUGAGGUAACGGCCCACCAAGGCGACGAUCAGUAGCUGGUCUGAGAGGAUGAUCAGCCACACUGGGACUGAGACACGGCCCAGACUCCUACGGGAGGCAGCAGUGGGGAAUCUUGCGCAAUGGGCGAAAGCCUGACGCAGCCAUGCCGCGUGAAUGAUGAAGGUCUUAGGAUUGUAAAAUUCUUUCAGCGGGGACGAUAAUGACGGUACCCGCAGAAGAAGCUCCGGCUAACUUCGUG